rnacentral:lncRNA from 1 species
GUUGCCAUUAGUUUCUGCUAUGCCAGUGGGUAACCGUAAAUGAAACGGGCUUCUGAAAAAUCCGGUAAGGGAAAGGGGUCAGAGUCAACGUGGCGGUGGGUUAGGUUCGUCCAGAGGCCAAGCCGUAGCUGCUGAAGAUAACGUGAAAAACACCGAGUUCCUUGGCCACGCUGGCUGUCCAUCCGAAGAUGUCGGCUAUGAUGCAAAGUUGUUGCUGAUGGACGAUGGUGUUUUGUUUGGAU